rnacentral:rRNA from 1 species
GACGAACGCUGGCGGCGUGCUUAACACAUGCAAGUCGAACGGAAAGGCCCUGCUUUUGUGGGGUGCUCGAGUGGCGAACGGGUGAGUAACACGUGAGUAACCUGCCCUUGACUUUGGGAUAACUUCAGGAAACUGGGGCUAUUACCGGAUAGGAUCUCCUGCUGCAUGGUGGGGGUUGGAAAUUUUCGUCGGUUGGGGAUGGACGCGAGGCUUAUCAUCUUGUUGGUGGGGUAGUGGCUUACCAAGGCUUUGACGGGUAGCCGGCCUGAGAGGGUGACCGGCAACAUUGGGACUGAGAUACGGCCCAGACUGCGACGGGAGGCAGCAGUGGGGAAUAUUGCACAAUGGGCGGAAGCCUGAUGCAGCAACGCCGCGUGCGGGAUGACGGCCUUCGGGUUGUAAACCGCUUUCGCCUGUGACGAAGCGUGAGUGACGGUAAUGGGUAAAGAAGCACCGGCUAACUACGUG